UAAAUAUGAACACGUAAAAAACAAUUUUAAAAAUGAAAAUGACGUGGAAAGAAAAUUGAACAGUUUGUAAGUUUAUGGAGAUUCAAUCUCACUUUUCAGAAUUUGAAUCUCAGUCAAAGUUACAGUGAGAACCGAAGCUGCAACAUAGAAAACGUGAACAUGCAACAUAGAAAACGUGAACCUAUAGUCUCACUUCCUCCCAUCCAAAAUCAACCACUUCGAUAGUCUCUUGAACUCCCUCCUCCUCUUCUUCAACAAGAUUGGCGACGUCAAAGCCCUAGGCCGCUGCUGCGGCAUUUCUCGCCGCUUCCACUCCCUUGUACCUCGGGUCGAAAACGUUGUUGUCCGCGUCGACUGCGUCACCGACGACGACUCUUCCUCCUCCUCCACCGCCUUCGACAAGUUCCGCAACCCUCUUCCA
rnacentral:lncRNA from 1 species